rnacentral:tRNA from 1 species
GGCGGCUGGCCGGCGCGGCCCGCCGGGAGGGCCGUCGGCCGUCGGCCGCCCAGCUGGUGGCCGAGCGCUUCGCGUUCGACGCGCUGAGCCGCGGC